GGUGCCUUUCAGUGGAAGCCAGGGUGUAGUUGAAGAGAUCACCAGAGUCUAACGCACAAAAAGACAAUCUACACCACCCACUCCUACCCUCCAAUUCGCCCUGUGCUUAUUGCUCUGAAAUCAUGCUCUGCCAUGUUUAGGUGUUACUGCCCGGUUCUCCUCACCAGAGAAAGAAUAGCAACCAGGAAAACCUCUAUCCUCAAUGGAGCAAGUGUCUGUGGAAUUGACUAGUGUGUAGUGAACAGUUGCGUGGACACUUAUGUGCUGCGUGCGGAAUGUUUGGGGUGUUUGCCGUGACCUAGCUCACUGUCUCAUCACAAAGGCUUUAGGAGAGACACCAGUUGCUAGGGAGAGGUGGAUCCUUGAAGGCUACUAACCCAGACUGAAUGAGUAUGCUGUAAGGCUCUUGAAGGAAAGAUACGGAGAGCAUGGAGGAGGGGUGCCUUCCCAAGGACCUUAGACUGGUGUGGGAAAUAUAAAUGCUCUACAGCAUGACCCAUCUUCAUCCCCAUGCUGGAAGGAAGGCCUGGUAGCCAGAAUAUAUCCUCCACCUGAGAGCCGGGAUCAUCACUAGUUCUUGAACAGAGGACCGCAGGAGCAUUUCCUUUAUAAAUGUCAUCAAGCAGAGCCAGGUGCACUGGCACAUAUCCUUAAUCCCAGCACUGGGAAGGCAGAGGCAAGAGAGUCACAGCAAGCUUGAGGCCUGCCUGGUCCACAUAUGGAGUCCCUGGAUAUUCAGAGCGCCACGGAAACCCUGUCUCAAACUCUAAAUAAAACGGACCAAGCAAAAAGGGGCCGGCAGAAAAGUAACUCAAGUCAGGAUGACUCAAGUCAGGAUGUUGGAAGAAGGAUCUCUGAGUGAGAUUUGAAAUCCUACCUGGAUCUGAAUCCUAGCCCUGAGCUUGCUAGCUGGGUAACCUGCUGUAAGUGACCAGAGGAGACACUGUUUUCUCUUGUAUGAUUAGAGUCGUCAUGCAAACUACGAACACUGUGAGAACCAAGAUAUGGCAGGUAUGCCCAGUGCUUAAAACCUACAGGCAUGGAGUGAUGCUCUGCUCGGUGCCGGGAUGGUGGCGGAGUGGAAAAGCCAUGCCCUCGUCCCAAGGCAGCCUCUCUCGAGACUGGCUACAGACUUUUUUUCUUUCCUACAACAAAAACGCAGACAUUUCUUAUUUCUCAGCACGCCUUAUCAACACAGCUUAUCCACUUCUCUGGAAGUUAGAGUUGCUCUUUUUCUUCUACCUGGAGACAGAGUACAAUAUCCUUUCAGGAACUGGGCUCUACGUAAGCCAAUGUGGUUGAUGCUAUAAAGAGUUCAUAUGGGUUUCCUACCCUUCCACACAGACUUGAAGAGGUUUCAUUUCUUCCUGUCUGCUCUGUCUUGUGACGUUGUUUCCAUUAAGGACACUAUAGAACUCAUUGGCUCUGUCACCUCUACCAUCAGUCCUUGCAGUUGCCGAGACACCUUUGAAAGGAUCACUCAUCCUUGUACAUCUUCGUAAGAGAUGUCUCCUAGCCUCUUUGAGACUCUGGUUGUCCGAUUCCCUGGGCCCUCCCUGCUCAGAACCGCAGCUAUGCUGACAAUGGCCACCCUAAGACUUCACAGGGGACUUAGCUGUGCUUGCUCCAUUGUGCUAAGCUCUCUCCUGGUUGCUAAGUCCCUAGUCUAAGGUUGUGGAUAGAGUACAGGGUGACUUGUCAAGUUGGAAUUUUAGAUAAACAACAAAAAACGGAGGCCCGUGUCUCAAGAGUUGAGUCUCGUGUUUAUUUGAUAAAUCUGCAGCAGGAAGGCCAGUCUCCCACCCAGGCUUCUGCACCUGAUAUUCUUCACCAGCAUGCAGGCGAAGUCAGUUCUGGACGAUACCAUAAAUGAAAACUGACCACAGCGACAGCAAUAAUGGCUGAGAUGCCCGAAACAGCUACCACGAUAAACACUUCACACCAAUUAGGGUUCAGUCCAUCACAGCAGGGAAAGCAUGGCCGCAGAUGCAAGGCAGUUGUCAAUAUCGUCUCCACAGUCAGCAAGCAGAGAGUAGACAGGAAACACGGCAUGGACAUAAAACCUUCAAGCCUUCCUCAGUGGCCUGCUUUCUCCAGAGGAGUUCCACUUCCUAAUGGCUACGCACACUUCCAAAAGAGCACCACCAGCUGGGGACCAGCUGUUCCAACAUGAGCCUGUGGGGGACAUUUACCAUUCAAGCACACGGGAGACUGCUAUGGACAGAAGAAAGCAGAGCGUUUUCUUCAGAUAUGGCGAGCAGGAUGUGAUUUGUUGCUUCUAUCUGCACAGGUUUAACUCAAGAAAUCGUCAUCACCAGAAUUCAAAUAAAACCUUCAGUUCUCA
rnacentral:lncRNA from 1 species